CCAUAACUACACCAUUGUGGAGCUUUUCUCUUGACUUUGGAGCCUGACUGUUGCAAGAAGAAACCCCACCAGCCCCAAAGACAUAUUCCCUCAAUUUAACAGCAGACCAAGGUGUUUCUCCAGCAUCAUCGGAUCAAUGAAAACCCCAGGGACGAUGCUGAUUGCCAAAGA
rnacentral:lncRNA from 1 species